GGCGUCAAUAGUGUAACGGAUAGAGCACGCUCUCCCGGAAAGCGAGAGGCGCUGGUUCUAGUCCAGCCUGACGCCU